AUGGGUCAGCUGCAGGGUCGUCAGCCAGGAACCACCAUUCACCAACGUUUCGCCCCUUUAAUCCUGGAACGUCUCCUGGUGGUUCUGUCCUUCCUAUGCAGCCAGAGCCAAAAGCUCCCUUUCUCCGCCUCCUCAGUUGGUUCCUUUGUUGCCUUCCUCAGCCUUCCUCCCGUGACUCCCACGUCUUUCAGGAGGCGUAUGGUCGACAACCCUGUGAAGUUUGUAUCACUGUGGUACACGUUCGGUGGAGGAACCAGACUGGAUGUUAACCUGGGUAAUGUUCGCCCCACCGUGACAGUGCUGCCCCCCUCCAGUGAGGAUCUGCAGCAGGGGAAGGCCACCCUCAUGUGUCUGGCCAACAAGGGCUUCCCCUCAGACUGGAGUCUGUCCUGGAAGGUGGAGGGCAGCAUUAACACCUUCACCUGGGAGGAGAAUAAGAGCAGAGGAGUUAUGCAGAAGGACGGCUUCUACACCUGGAGCAGCACCCUGAGGCUCCCUGCAGACCAGUGGAGGAAGGUGGGCUCUGUGACCUGUGAGGCCACCCAGGGCUCCGAGUCUGCAGUCACAGAGACACUGAGGAGAGACCAAUGCUCCUAG